UACGUAGGGUGCGAGCGUUAAUCGGAAUUACUGGGCGUAAAGCGUGCGCAGGCGGUUAUAUAAGACAGUUGUGAAAUCCCCGGGCUCAACCUGGGAACUGCAAUUGUGACUGUAUGGCUAGAGUGUGUCAGAGGGGGGUGGAAUUCCACGUGUAGCAGUGAAAUGCGUAGAGAUGUGGAGGAACACCGAUGGCGAAGGCAGCCCCCUGGGAUAACACUGACGCUCAUGCACGAAAGCGUGGGGAGCAAACAGG
rnacentral:rRNA from 1 species